rfam:Angiostrongylus costaricensis strain Costa Rica genome assembly, scaffold: ACOC_scaffold0000189
CCAUGCCUCUCGAUCUAAAAUAUAAAAACUAUUAGCCAACGAGGAAUAUUGGAAAGUACAACAGUUAUAAAUUAGUGUCGAUUUAAAAGAGAGGUCAUUUGUAUUCCUAAGUAUUUCUGGAGCUAACACAUGCUAUUAAACCCUGACUUUCGAAAGGGUGCAAUUAUUAGAGCAAAUCAAUCAUUUUCGGUUUUAGUCUGCUGACUCUGAAUAACGCAGUAUAUCGGCGGCUUGUUCGCCGAUAAUCCGAAAAAGUGUCUGCCCUAUCAACCUAAUGGUAGUCUAUUAGUCUACCACGGUUAUUACGGGUAACGGAGAAUAAGGGUUCGACUCCGGAGAGGGAGCCUUAGAAACGGCUACCACAUCCAAGGAAGACAGCAGG